CCCCGUAAAGAAGGCCGGCUUUGCCUAACAAACAUCAUAGCGCGGAAUCGGUCUGGAUCGGAACCCUCCUGGCAGCCACCGGCUCAUCCGAGCGCUUCCUUCGUAGAAUGUGAAGAGAGUGGAGUUCAGCAAUCCUGUUGCUGAGCUGGGUAAUGCUGAGUCGCUGACUGAAGUGGGAGUUUUGUGCUCUUCCUCCGUGAAUGCCCCCCCCGGCCCCCGCAUCCCGAAUUAACCAGGCCCUCCCCACUUUGAUGCCUCUCUAUAUAUAAACGAGAUCUCUCAUCCAGUUUCCAAUUCCCAUUCACAAACCGCAUAUACAUAAACCUUACAUACAAAAAAGGCAAACCCCAUCCAAUCCAAUAUGCCGACCCUCCACGCGCUCCACCCCACCCUCCCCGCCAGUACCCCCGCCAUAAUCAGCGCGCCAAUGCUCGCCAUCGCCUCACCCAACCUCGCCAUCUCCGUCACCCGCGCCGGCGGCCUCGGCUUCAUCGGCGCCGGCUUCGACGUCUCUAGCCUUGAAACUCUCCUCUCCCAAGCCGCCGAACUGGUCUCGAAGCCCUCCUCCUCCCCACCCAUCCCCAACUACACCUACAAGAAAGACGACGACGACGACGACGAUACCUCCUCCUCCCCCCUCCCCAUCGGCAUCGGCCUGCUCAACUGGGGCGC
rnacentral:sRNA from 1 species